GGGCGUUUAGCUCAGCUGGUUUAGAGCAUCUGCCUUACAAGCAGAGGGUCGGCGGUUCGAAUCCGUCAACGCCCAC
rnacentral:tRNA from 7 species